rnacentral:rRNA from 1 species
GAAGUCCCUCGCGGAUGGAGCUGACGAGAGUCGCAGAUACCAGGUGGCUGCAACUGGUUAUUAAAAACACAGCACUGUGCAAAAUCGCAAGAUGACGUAUACGGUGUGACGCCUGCCCGGUGCCGGAAGGUUAAUUGAUGGGGUUAGCGCAAGCGAAGCUCUUGAUCGAAGCCCCGGUAAACGGCGGCCGUAACUAUAACGGUCCUAAGGUAGCGAAAUUCCUUGUCGGGUAAGUUCCGACCUGCACGAAUGGCGUAAUGAUGGCCACGCUGUCUCCACCCGAGACUCAGUGAAAUUGAAAUCGCUGUGAAGAUGCAGUGUACCCGCGGCUAGACGGAAAGACCCCGUGAACCUUUACUACAGCUUGGCACUGAACAUUGAACCUACAUGUGUAGGAAACGUUGGACGCCAUUAAAAAAAUAAAAAAUUUUCGUUGGAGCCUUCCUUUAAAAACCACCCUAUUAAGUUAGGAUAGGUGGGAGGCUAUGAAGACGUGACGCCAGUUGCGUUGGAGCCGUCCUUGAAAUACCACCCUUGUAUGUUUGAUGUUCUAACUUAGACCCAUUAUCUGGGUUGAGGACAGUGCCUGGUGGGUAGUUUGACUGGGGCGGUCUCCUCCCAAAGAGUAACGGAGGAGCACGAAGGUGGGCUAAUCACGGUUGGACAUCGUGAGGUUAGUGCAAUGGCAUAAGCCCGCUUAACUGCGAGAAUGACGGUUCGAGCAGGUGCGAAAGCAGGUCAUAGUGAUCCGGUGGUUCUGUAUGGAAGGGCCAUCGCUCAACGGAUAAAAGGUACUCCGGGGAUAACAGGCUGAUACCGCCCAAGAGUUCAUAUCGACGGCGGUGUUUGGCACCUCGAUGUCGGCUCAUCACAUCCUGGGGCUGAAGUCGGUCCCAAGGGUAUGGCUGUUCGCCAUUUAAAGUGGUACGCGAGCUGGGUUUAGAACGUCGUGAGACAGUUCGGUCCCUAUCUGCCGUGGGCGUUGGAAGAUUGAAGGGGGCUGCUCCUAGUACGAGAGGACCGGAGUGGACGAACCUCUGGUGUUCGGGUUGUGUCGCCAGACGCAUUGCCCGGUAGCUAAGUUCGGAAUUGAUAAGCGCUGAAAGCAUCUAAGCGCGAAGCGAGCCCUGAGAUGAGUCUUCCCUGACAGUUUAACUGUCCUAAAGGGUUGUUCGAGACUAGAACGUUGAUAGGCAGGGUGUGUAAGCGUUGUGAGGCGUUGAGCUAACCUGUACUAAUUGCCCGUGAGGCUUAACCAU